rnacentral:hammerhead_ribozyme from 1 species
AUUAGCUGACGAGUCCCAAAUAGGACGAAAUGCGCGUUAUCCUGGACUGGAU